GACGAACGCUGGCGGCGUGCUUAACACAUGCAAGUCGAACGGAAAGGCCCUGCUUGCAGGGUGCUCGAGUGGCGAACGGGUGAGUAACACGUGGGUGAUCUGCCCCUUACUUUGGGAUAAGCCUGGGAAACUGGGUCUAAUACUGGAUAGGACCAUGCUGUAGGUGGUGUGGUGGAAAGAUUAGUUUCGGUAAGGGAUGAGCUCGCGGCCUAUCAGCUUGUUGGUGGGGUAAUGGCCUACCAAGGCGUCGACGGGUAGCCGGCCUGAGAGGGUGGACGGCCACAUUGGGACUGAGAUACGGCCCAGACUCCUACGGGAGGCAGCAGUGGGGAAUAUUGCACAAUGGGCGCAAGCCUGACGCAGCGACGCCGCGUGGGGGAUGACGGCCUUCGGGUUGUAAACUCCUUUCAGCCAUGACGAAGCCCUUGUGGUGACGGUAGUGGUAGAAGAAGCACCGGCUAACUACGUG
rnacentral:rRNA from 1 species